CCCUCUUAUUCCACCACCAUCAAUGCUGAGAACAGUGAUUAGGUUUCCGUAAGUUGGAGGUUGUAGGGGUACAUUUAUUGAGCCCAUUGGGAUAAAGAUGCAGGUAAGGAGAGAGAGAGAGAGAGAGAGAGAGAGAGAGAGA